rnacentral:rRNA from 1 species
AUACGUAGGGUGCGAGCGUUAAUCGGAAUUACUGGGCGUAAAGCGUGCGCAGGCGGUUUUGUAAGACAGAUGUGAAAUCCCCGGGCUUAACCUGGGAACUGCGUUUGUGACUGCAAGGCUAGAGUACGGCAGAGGGGGGUGGAAUUCCACGUGUAGCAGUGAAAUGCGUAGAGAUGUGGAGGAACACCGAUGGCGAAGGCAGCCCCCUGGGCCUGUACUGACGCUCAUGCACGAAAGCGUGGGGAGC